AUAACCCUGGUUAUCUGAAGGCCAUUUCAGACUGAAGAACAUUGCAGCCGGACCAACAGAAGCUAAACAUGCACGUCGCUCCGUUGCAAGUGAAGCAACAGCAGGCAAUCACUUUACCAACGACCUCAUCAAAAUUCCACCAACGACGGUUUCGGUUGACCGUGCUGAUGUCUCGCACAACACGACAUUAAGGGACGUUAUUCUCCACCUCGAGCGCAACCCGAUCUUUGCAUUCGCGAAGGCCUCAACCCGAGAAUUCACACCAUCACCACCAAGUCCUCAACCGCAGGCCGCACGCGGCGCCGGCAGGAAGGUGGCAUCUCAGUACACACGAGAUGAAGUUCUCUGCAUCGCGCAACCAAUCCACCUUCUCUCAGAAGAUGAUGGAAGCUCCCAAGAGGAAAUAAGACCUGCUAAGCUACUUACACGAGCUAAUCCUCCCACAUCAAGAUGACACUUGGGACGAAAUAAUGGGUCCUGACAAUUAAGAAUUCAACGUUCCCAUAUGAAAGUGUGGUGCUGUGAUAUUAAUACACCGACG
ensembl:lncRNA